UACGUAGGCAGCGAGCGUUGUUCGGAAUUACUGGGCGUAAAGAGUGUGUAGGCGGUGCUUUAAGUUCGGUGUGAAAUCUCCUGGCUUAACUGGGAGGGUGCGCCGGAAACUGGAGUGCUCGAGCGUGGGAGAGGAAAGCGGAAUUCCUGGUGUAGCGGUGAAAUGCGUAGAUAUCAUUUGGAACGCCAAUGGUGAAAACAGAUAGCUGGGGUUGUGCUGACACUGAGACACGAAAGCCAGGGGAGCAAACGGG
rnacentral:rRNA from 1 species